GUCUGCGGCCAUACCACCCUGAAUGCACCUCAUCUCGUCUGAUCUCGGAAGCUCAGCAGGGUUGGGCCUGGUUAGUACUUGGAGGGGAGACCAAUAGACAGAAGCAGAGAAAAAGAGACC
rnacentral:rRNA from 1 species